rnacentral:sRNA from 1 species
UCAGUGUUUUCAAUGCUGUCGAUAUGGUC